AGGAUUCUGUAUUAACGGUGGA
rnacentral:miRNA from 1 species